rfam:Ornithorhynchus anatinus chromosome 2, whole genome shotgun sequence.
AGCAGCGUGGCUCAGUGGAAAGAGCACAGGGUUGGGAGUCAGAGAUCAUGGGUUCGAAUCCCGGCUCUGCCA